UACGAAGGGGGGCAAGCGUUGUCCGGAUUUAUUGGGCGUAAAGAGCUCGUAGGUGGUUCGGUAAGUCGGAUGUGAAAUCUCCAGGCUCAAUCUGGAGGGGUCAUUCGAUACUGCCGUGACUAGAGUUCGGUAGGGGAGUGUGGAAUUCCUGGUGGAGCGGUGAAAUGCGCAGAUAUCAGGAGGAACACCCGUAGCGAAGGCGGCACUCUGGGCCGAUACUGACACUGAGGAGCGAAAGCGUGGGGAGCGAACAGG
rnacentral:rRNA from 1 species